GGCGCGAAAACUCCGCAAUGCGCGCAAGCGUGACGGGGGAAUCCCAAGUGCCGUUGGUCUUAUGAUCGACGGUUUUUAGGAAGUCUAAGAAGCUUCCAGAAUAAGGGCUGGGCAAGACUGGUGCCAGCCGCCGCGGUAACACCAGCAGCCCAAGUGGUGACCACGAUUAUUGGGCCUAAAGCGCUCGUAGCCGGAUCAGCAAGUCCCUUGUGAAAUCGGGCCGCCUAACGGUUCGGCGUGCAAGGGAUACUGUUGGUCUUGAGGCCGGGAGAGGUCGGAGGUACUCCUGGGGUAGCGGUGAAAUGCCCUAAUCCUAGGGGGACCACCAGUGGCGAAGGCGUCCGACCAGAACGGACCUGACGGUGAGGGGCGAAGGCUAGGGGAGCGAACGGGAUUAGAUACCCCGGUAGUCCUAGCUGUAAAGCAUGCGGGCCAGGUGUCUAGCGCUCCUUGAGGGCGCUAGGUGCCGGAGGGAAGCCGUUAAGCCCGCCGCCUGGGAAGUACGGCCGCAAGGCUGAAACUUAAAGAAAUUGGCGGGGGAGCACCACAAGAGGUGGGACCUGCGGUUCAAUUGGAUUCAACGCCGGAAAACUCACCAGGGGCGACAGCUGGUUGACGGCCAGAUUGACGAUCUUGCCCGACUAGCUGAGAGGUGGUGCAUGGCCAUCGUCAGCUCGUACCGUGAGGCGUCCUGUUAAGUCAGGCAACGAGCGAGAUCCUCGCCCUUAGUUGCCAUCGGUGGAAAGCCGGGCACUCUAGGGG
rnacentral:rRNA from 1 species